GGGAGCGCCCGGCAGCAGAAACCCAGCGCUGAGCAUCGCGGGGAGGAUGCUCGGGCACACGCAGCUGCCGGGGGAUGGGGUUACAAGCCCAAGCUAAACAAAGAUCGCUGCGAAAAGGAAACGGAUCCCUGCUGCCGACUGUAAGGUAGGAGCCGAGCGGGAGCCGCUUGACAUCAUCGGGCAGAGCAUUGGAUUACAGCAGGCAGGGACUGACUCCGGGGAGGAGAACACGCCCCUUGGCCCCACAAGUGCAACUUCAUUUAGCAGCUCCCGGCAGAAGGAAACUGCGAGUCUGGAACCGGCUGCGAGGCUCCCGGCCGGCUUGGCAGGAGGGCACAGAGGGCAGAGAGGGCAGGAGGGUGGGAUCCAGCCGCGAUCCCUUCAUUCAUCCAUCCCCUCCUCGGCGUUGGGACCGCGGGCUGGCUCAUUU
ensembl:lncRNA